rnacentral:rRNA from 1 species
UACGUAGGGUGCGAGCGUUGUCCGGAAUUAUUGGGCGUAAAGAGCUUGUAGGUGGCUCGUCGCGUCGGGAGUGAAAACCCGCGGCUUAACCGCGGGCCUGCUUUCGAUACGGGCGGGCUAGAGUUCGGCAGGGGAGACUGGAAUUCCUGGUGUAGCGGUGGAAUGCGCAGAUAUCAGGAGGAACACCGGUGGCGAAGGCGGGUCUCUGGGUCGAUACUGACACUGAGAAGCGAAAGCGUGGGGAGCGAACAGG